rnacentral:rRNA from 1 species
ACGCUGGCGGCGUGCCUAAUACAUGCAAGUAGAACGCUGAAGCUUGGUGCUUGCACCGAGCGGAGGAGUUGCGAACGGGUGAGUAACGCGUAGGUAACCUGCCUCUUAGCGGGGGAUAACUAUUGGAAACGAUAGCUAAUACCGCAUAAAAGUCGACAUUGCAUGAUGUUGACUUGAAAGGUGCAACUGCAUCACUAAGAGAUGGACCUGCGUUGUAUUAGCUAGUUGGUGAGGUAACGGCUCACCAAGGCGACGAUACAUAGCCGACCUGAGAGGGUGAUCGGCCACACUGGGACUGAGACACGGCCCAGACUCCUACGGGAGGCAGCAGUAGGGAAUCUUCGGCAAUGGACGGAAGUCUGACCGAGCAACGCCGCGUGAGUGAAGAAGGUUUUCGGAUCGUAAAGCUCUGUUGUAAGAGAAGAACGAGUGUGAGAGUGGAAAGUUCACACUGUGACGGUAACUUACCAGAAAGGGACGGCUAACUACGUGCCAGCAGCCGCGGUAAUACGUAGGUCCCGAGCGUUAUCCGGAUUUAUUGGGCGUAAAGCGAGCGCAGGCGGUUAGAUAAGUCUGAAGUUAAAGGCUGUGGCUUAACCAUAGUACGCUUUGGAAACUGUUUAACUUGAGUGCAGAAGGGGAGAGUGGAAUUCCAUGUGUAGCGGUGAAAUGCGUAGAUAUAUGGAGGAACACCGGUGGCGAAAGCGGCUCUCUGGUCUGUAACUGACGCUGAGGCUCGAAAGCGUGGGGAGCGAACAGGAUUAGAUACCCUGGUAGUCCACGCCGUAAACGAUGAGUGCUAGGUGUUGGGUCCUUUCCGGGACUCAGUGCCGCAGCUAACGCAUUAAGCACUCCGCCUGGGGAGUACGACCGCAAGGUUGAAACUCAAAGGAAUUGACGGGGGCCCGCAC